rnacentral:rRNA from 1 species
GCCGGUGGCUAAUAUCCGCCGGAGAUGACGGUACCCAACGUAAGCCCCGGCUAACUACGUGCCAGCAGCCGCGGUAAUACGUAGGGGCAAGCGUUGUUCGGAAUUACUGGGCGUAAAGGGCGCGUAGGCGGCACGGCAAGUCAGGAGUGAAAGCCCUGGGCUCAACCCGGGAACUGCUUUUGAAACUGCCGAGCUAGAGUGCGGAAGGGGCAACUGGAAUUCCCAGUGUAGCGGUGAAAUGCGUAGAUAUUGGGAAGAACACCUGAGGCGAAGGCGGGUUGCUGGGCCGACACUGACGCUGAGGCGCGAAAGCCAGGGGAGCGAACGGGAUUAGAUACCCCGGUAGUCCUGGCCCUAAACGAUGGAUACUUGGUGUGUGGGGUUUUCUCAGUCCCCGCGUGCCGGAGCUAACGCGGUAAGUAUCCCGCCUGGGGAGUACGGUCGCAAGGCUG